rnacentral:rRNA from 1 species
CCUACGGGUGGCAGCAGUGGGGAAUAUUGGACAAUGGGGGGAACCCUGAUCCAGCCAUGCCGCGUGUGUGAAGAAGGCCCUCGGGUUGUAAAGCACUUUCAGUGAGGAAGAACGCCUGGUGGUUAAUACCCAUCAGGAAAGACAUCACUCACAGAAGAAGCACCGGCUAACUCCGUGCCAGCAGCCGCGGUAAUACGGAGGGUGCGAGCGUUAAUCGGAAUUAUUGGGCGUAAAGCGCGCGUAGGUGGCUUGAUAAGCCGGUUGUGAAAGCCCCGGGCUCAACCUGGGAACGGCAUCCGGAACUGUCAAGCUAGAGUGCAGGAGAGGAAGGUAGAAUUCCCGGUGUAGCGGUGAAAUGCGUAGAGAUCGGGAGGAAUACCAGUGGCGAAGGCGGCCUUCUGGACUGACACUGACACUGAGGUGCGAAAGCGUGGGUAGCAAACAGGAUUAGAUACCCCAGUAGUC